UCAGGAGGACUGUUCUGGUCUCAGGUCCUCUGCUGUGUGUGAUUCUCUCUCUCUGCUCAGUCCUGGGAUGCACCCAGAGGCACCUGCAUGUGCACCCCAUGUUCUGUGUUCAACCCUGGACAAUGCUGUGAGAAUUCUCUGAUUUGAGAACAAAUCAGAAUAAAGCAACUUAACCCUCGAGAUCUUCAAUGGAUUCUCUAACCCCUCUCUUUCAGCAUGAAGGCCAAGAAGUUAAUGGGCUAGAGUUGCAGCCAUUGGUUCCUGGCAGCCAGCCUGGGUGUGCUGCCUCUGUGGGCUCCACGUACCAGGCUCUGUGCCCUCAGGCUUGACACAGGGCAGGUGGGGCCAAGGAACUUCAAAGCCCAGAGUCUGAUGCAACUAAUACAGACCCCUGAAGGCACUGGCCACCGUAAGCUGAGCACUUGAGAUGUUGCCAUUGUGACCGAGAGACUGAUUUUUAAAAUUUUAUUUAAUCUUAAAAAAUCUAAAAAAAAAACUAAUUCACUUAUCAGAAAAUGUUGACAAAUAUAAAUCUAUUUCUCCAAAUACCGAUUUCAGGACAUCUAAAUGCCGAUUGAAUAUUUCUGAUAAAAACGUAGUGUCUAAAUUGAGACUUUCUGUAAGUACAAAUGACAUAUGAGAUUUCAAAGGCCUGGUUUGUAAAAAAGAAGGCGAAAUAACUCACUAGUCAUUUUUUUAUGUUGAUUCCAUGUUGAAAUGAUCAUAUUUUGGAUAUACUGGGUUAAAUCAAAAGUGUUAUUUGAAUUGACAGCACUCAUUGUUUCUCGCUUAUUUCAAAUGUGACUUUUAGAGAACUGAAAAUGAUCUAUGUGGUUUGUGUUGUCUGGCUAUCAAAUUGCACUAACAUAAAACCAUAGCUCCGAUCUCUCUGAUAGAGUCUUGCCUGACAAUCUGAACCACCCAAGGCUACCACGUCUAGAAGAGCCACAUCUCCAGGGAGAGAAUAAAAUACCUGGUUGCGCUCAUUUAUCACUACAAUCUAAUAACACAGAGGAGAAGCCCCUGGGAUACAACCAGAGGGAAUUUCAAUUACAUCUCUAACCAAGGGGCACAUGGCAGAGUGCUUAAUAAUCAGCCCUUAAUCAGCCACCUCUAGACUCAGAUGGUACCUCCAGCCUGGUUCUCAGACAGGGAGACUUAGAGCUGGGGUUCUCAGAGGAGAAGAGGGAGGUGCAGGGUUUGGAUUCAUAAUGGUGCGUUAGAAUUAGAACCAGGUCUCAGAAAUGGCAGAGAACUGAGCUUUUACUUGAUGCUCAAAUGGGAGGAGUAGGAGAAGAGGUGACAAUGAUUGAAAUAAAUAAUGGCCCAGGAUGUAUGGCACUGUUCCAAAUGCUUUGCAGGUCUUAGAUGUGUCAACAGGAAAGUCACUCACGGUAAGUGUUUGUACAGUACCCUUAGUUUCUUAAGCAGUGAUCAACAGAUCCAGGACCGUAAAACCCCAACUCUUGUCACCCAUAAUGCAGCCAAGUCGAAGGUGUGACUUGCACCCUUAGCAGAGCUCACAGGAGAGAACAGGCCAGAGUCCAUGUUGGAGGUUUGCUUGACACUGCAUCCUUGCAGGGCCUCCUGCCCCUACCAUGCCCACUCCUCCACACCCCAUGGGUUACUCCUGGGAACCCCUCUUCGCAAGUCACUUCACAGGACUCUUCCCCUCAGAUCUGUUUCAAGGUGGCUGCCCAACCUACGUACGAC
rnacentral:lncRNA from 1 species